AGAAGGUCCCAAGGGUUUGGCUGUUCGCCAAUUAAAGCGGUACGUGAGCUGGGUUCAGAACGUCGUGAGACAGUAAACUGUGCUGUCUUAAAAUUCGACUAUAUGCUGGAAACUCUGACCGGGCUUCUCUAAGAGAAGAAGUCCCAAAGUAUCUCGCGCUACGGGACGAGUGUCGCGUAACAAUGCGUCGAGUGCAGACAAUCAGCAGGGAAGUUCGUGGUACGUACCCACAUCGUAUGAACACCCUCAGAGACUCUACGUCGAACAUCGCUACCCAGCGAUGAAGAUAUAGUCCGAACUGCAUAGCGAUAUGCAGAGCACGUCAGAAAUGGCGCGUCGCCACGUGAGCAAUGGUUGUAAUGAAAUGUGGUUCGCAAAGCAACAAAAUUGUCGGUCUCCUAUCCACUAUGGGCGUUGAAAUUUGAGGGUACGCUUCUCUAGUACGAGAGGACCGAGAAGCACGAACCUCUUGUGUACCAGUUGUCCCGCCAGGGGCAGCGCUGGGUAGCAACGUUCGGCGAAGAUAAACGCUGAAAGCAUCUAAGCGUGAAACUUCACCCAAGAUCAGAUUUCGCAGACUCCAGAGAGAUUAUCUGGUCGAUAGGCGGCAGAUGGAAGGCCCGCAAGGGUUGAAGUCGAGCCGUACUAAUAAGUCGUCGCU
rnacentral:rRNA from 1 species